AUUGAACGCUGGCGGCAUGCCUUACACAUGCAAGUCGAACGGCAGCGCGGGAGCAAUCCUGGCGGCGAGUGGCGAACGGGUGAGUAAUAUAUCGGAACGUGCCCAGUAGUGGGGGAUAGCCCGGCGAAAGCCGGAUUAAUACCGCAUGAGACCUGAGGGUGAAAGCGGGGGAUCGCAAGACCUCGCGCUACUGGAGCGGCCGAUAUCAGAUUAGCUAGUUGGUGGGGUAAAGGCCUACCAAGGCAACGAUCUGUAGUUGGUCUGAGAGGACGACCAGCCACACUGGGACUGAGACACGGCCCAGACUCCUACGGGAGGCAGCAGUGGGGAAUUUUGGACAAUGGGCGCAAGCCUGAUCCAGCAAUGCCGCGUGCAGGAAGAAGGCCUUCGGGUUGUAAACUAGCUUUGUCUAGGAGAAUACCCCUUUGGGAGUAAUAACCUCGGGGGAGUGACGGUACCUGAAG
rnacentral:rRNA from 1 species